AUGGCGCCGUCUGUCGUGUCUGUCUUUGUGAUUCUGGUGCUGCUCGUCGGCGUCGAGGCACAAGGGAGCAGAGUGACUGCUGUGUUGGUGCAGGAGGGAGAAGAUCUGCUCCUGGAGGCUGAAUAUAAUAAUCCUGAAGGUUAUUUCAUUGUUAGGUGGCAAUUCAACAAAACGGUCGAUUUAGUGAGAUUUGUACCUCGUAGAGAACCAGCUGUCUCUUCUGAUUUCACUGGAAGGAUUGAGUUUACUGGGAAAAGAUUCUCUGUGAAAUUAAAGAAUCUCCAGCUGGCAGACAGUGGAGUUUAUACUGCAGACGUGAGCCAGUAUGGAGGACUGCGCCCACUACGAGACUGGCAACUAGGAGACCGCCCACUAGGAGACCGCCCACUAGGAGACCGCCCACUAGGAGACCGCCCACUAGGAGACCGCCCACUAGGAGACCGCCCACUAGGAGACCGCCCACUAGGAGACCGCACACUAGCUGAAUACAAGGUCACCGUUCAAGCUCCAGUGUCUCCAGUUAAGCUCUCCGUGGUCUCCGUGGUCUCCAGAAGCUCCGCCUCCUGUGACCUCACUGUGAACUGCAGCACACAGGACUCUCACAUCAGCAGCACUUUUACAUGCGUGGACGGAGCCUGCAGUCAGGAGGGAGGAGGAGGGCGAUCGGAGGUCACGACCUCUGGCGCUUCUCUCCAGGUCUACCUGUUGAAUAGCUCCAUCGUCUGUCACCAUAGCAACCAGGUUCACUGGACCAAGGACUUUAAAGGGACCCAACACGUUUGCUGCCAACAUGCUGGUAAGACUGAAGGACAAGACGACUUCCUCAUAAUAAAGCACAGUUUUGAGUUUGCUUAAGACUUGGAGCGUAUUAGCUUUUCUAGUUUUUUUCUAGCACAUGAAUGUUAUUUAUAGGAACACUAAAU
rnacentral:lncRNA from 1 species